AAACACGGAGGAUAGCGGCGGCAAAAUACCUGCGGCUUCUCCAUCUGCUGUAAUUUGUCAAGAUAGCCGCGAUUGGCAUCCGAUCACUUCAAUGUGACGCAGAAUCAACUUGAAUUAGCGUCGAUUCUAUGAAGCCCUGCCGCUAACCCUAACCCAAUAUACUGAUUUCUCCCAAAAUCAGUUCAGAUUACCCAAAAUAUAUAGUGGAGAACCCGUGAAAGGAGAGUAGAAGCGGCGAAUUCCUGUUCUAUGCUCCACCGGGGAGUCGCGUGGCUGCCGACCCAACCUCCUCUCACCGCUGUCGACCGUUCCCCUCUACUCUACAGUACGUGAAACCCCUGAUCCCUCAUUCACGGUGUGCGUAACUCACCCCUGUUAUCUGCUCUCCCGUGCACGUCUGUGCCGUCUUUGAGUUGCGUAGCUGCCCAAACAUCCUCCUCUCACCGUCGUCGGCCGUUCCCCUCUCCUCCACCAUGCGCGAAUCUGAGUUAUCGGCCUCUUCCUGUCACUGAUUUGUAUAUGUCUUCUCCUCGACGUCGCUAAGUCAUGCUUGGAGCUGUUGGCAUCCCAGUCUCCGUCAUCGUCGUGAAGCCAGUCUCCGUGAUUUAGAAAAUAAUGAUGAUAUUUUAGCUCUUGUGAAUAUUUGUUGACUGCUUCAACAGUUUGUUUAAUAGAGUGCUUCAUCAGUCUGUACAACUAAUCUGCCUACCAGCUCAAUCUCUUGUCUUUGAUGGGGAUGUCUUCACAGUCGGUUUUAUAAGAAAAAGGGAUGUUGUGGGGACUUUUUUCUGGUUUAAAUUACUCAUCCACUUGUCCUCUGGUCAACGACCGGGUGAAGCAGUUGAUGCUUCCACUUGGAACCAACAAUCAAGAGCUACUUGAAGAUUGUCUUUGUGGGACUUGGUGUUUUGAAAAUGGCCAGCUAGACAAUUUUAAAGAUGGCAAGGUGUACUGAAAUAGCUGACAAAAUGCAGAGUUAUUUUGCAGAAAAAACAAAGAGGCAGACAAUAGAGAGUGUGCUAAGUUAUCUGAUCCAACAACAAGAUGGGAGCUACCAUCAGACAUCGCUGCACGGAUGAAUUCUUUGGAUGGACAUGGCCGAAAAUAGAAAUUAGGAUAUAUAUGAUAUUUUAUUUUACAGUAUAUGUUUUGUUUAAGUUAACUAUGCAGCAUUUUUUAUCAG